GCCGGGAACUCAAAGGAGACUGCCAGUGAUAAACUGGAGGAAGGUGGGGAUGACGUCAAGUCAUCAUGGCCCUUACGACCAGGGCUACACACGUGCUACAAUGGCGCAUACAAAGAGAAGCGACCUCGCGAGAGCAAGCGGACCUCAUAAAGUGCGUCGUAGUCCGGAUUGGAGUCUGCAACUCGACUCCAUGAAGUCGGAAUCGCUAGUAAUCGUGGAUCAGAAUGCCACGGUGAAUACGUUCCCGGGCCUUGUACACACCGCCCGUCACACCAUGGGAGUGGGUUGCAAAAGAAGUAGGUAGCUUAACCUUCGGGAGGGCGCUUACCACUUUGUGAUUCAUGACUGGGGUGAAGUCGUAACAAGGUAACCGUAGGGGAACCUGCGGUUGGA
rnacentral:rRNA from 2 species